rnacentral:lncRNA from 1 species
UGAGAUUUUGAAUUACUUUGGACACAAUAGUCAUGAUUAAUUGUUAUCUAGAUGUGGAAAAUUUUUGAUUGAAGGAUAUAUUUUUGAAUUGGUUGAACUAGGUUGUGACUUGUGAGUUGUUUGGAAAUUUUUAUCAAUCUAUAUUCUCUUUUCUUUCACUUUACCACAUUUGAGAUAAGUUUGGGGGUGGUCGAGCCGGUGA